rnacentral:misc_RNA from 1 species
CCACCCAUGUGUUGGUCGGGCUCCUGUGCGGCCGUCCAGGGCGGGAUAAGUAGAGAAUGUGGUGGUGUAGGGUAGGUGACCAGGUCCAGGGUAGGUUCGCCAAAUCCGUCAAUCCGGCUUGGAUCGAAGGACAGGUCUAGGGUAGGCAACCCUCACCCUCGAAGUGGUCUACCCGGUAGCCAACUUCAAUCGCCUCUCACGGCCGCCACGGACCUCGAAUGACGACGGGACUACCACCAUCGGAUUCGCCUUGGUCGAAAUAGCUGGUAUAUGCACUUUUGAAAAAAUGCGUGCAAAAUGGUUUUGUGGUUUGGUGGCCGUGAGUCGAUUUUUUUGUUUUCCCAUACAAAUGAAUUUUGCGGAAAAUAAAAAGUGGCCCACGAGGCAGUCCUGGCGUGCGGCCCACUAAAACGGUCUCGGAGGGUAUAUGAGAAGGGAGCAAAUCCGGCCGAGCCUGAAAGGGUGAGGACAAACCGGGCGAGCAACCUCUCAGUAUCAGAUCUUGCAGACUUCCACUGCGUGUCCCUCUGUACAGCUUUGCAGGCUCCGGCCUCGGCAGCGGGGGGUUCAUAGUGGUCGUCGACCUCCACGAAACUGCACGCUCCGGCGUGACAGCGUACUGGGGAUGCCUGUGUAGAUGCAGUCCGGGCUUGCCUGGACCGCUAGCAGAUGGGCUCUGUGGAUGACUGGCCGCUGGCUAGACCUGAAACCUGAGCAACGGGAGGUAACCUCUCGCCGCGGACACCGGAAUGGUAGAAGCGGCGUGCUGCGUCCUCCUCUUGGGGCCCCUAAGCCACACCUCCCACAGCGGGUUCGGUGCGGCGGACGGACGCCCUGGGGAAUUUAGAGGGGGAAAGCGGAUUGCCCUAGCGGUGUUGUUGGCCCUGCCGACCUCACUGCGAAAGGCGCGACUUCACCGUCGCCACCCAGUAACUUUCUCUCC